CAAAAAUAAACUGUCCAUUUCAUGACAAUAAAAUGUCAACAUGCAACCCCACAUUUGGUCCAUUUACUUAUUUCCAAUAUUUAAUUUGUGCGUACAAUCGAAACAAUGAAAAACUGGUUUUUUGAUUGUUGAUUUGUACAUAAAUAAUGAAAUGACUCAUUUUUUCGUUUUUCAAUUGUGGAUUCUCAAUAGAAUAAGAAAAGAAUGGAUGAUACACGGAUUUGCAUGGACGAAUGUUUACUUCAACGAGACACAGUAAUAUAUUACAAUAAUUACAUACAAACAUAUAUGAAAUAUUGAUAAUAUUGUAAUAAUUUUAGUCCAAAAUGGGGCAAAAAUCCAGAAUUUAGAGUCAGAUACGACACAUUAAACACAACUAAACCUCCAGAAUCCACAGAUGAAAAUAAAUUCUACCUCAAAACAUCAUUAUAUGAUGUUUUCAACGAGAUGCGACAAAAUCAUGGGAUGUAUUUUUGAGUAUUAGAAAUCCCACAGUUGUACAUGAUGAACACAAGCGGUCACGGACGGGUCUAAAACCAAAGGUAGAUCUGUUUCCCAGCAGAUGAUUCGACUGUUUUGACUCAAAUCAAAAAUAUCUGCUGUUGAAAAGGUCGAAUAACUGAUUUAAUAUAUGUUUCAUGGUAAAAAAACAAAAAAACAAAACUGUACCUGUAGUGGGAGGUCCUGUUGUAGAAACGGCAGGUCGUGUUGCGUUCAGGGUCCCUCCUCAAUUAGGACAGGUCGGCUUCAUCACAUGAACGAAAGCCGGAGCUCGUUACCGUCCCAUCGUAAUGAAAAAAAAACAAACGCUGCAACAAUUCACCGUCAGGACUCGAAAACGAACAGAAUGGACACAAAAGAACCUCCAACACACGUGGAAUCAUAACAUCAACUGUGUCAAACAAUCAGAAAAAACAAGACUUAAAGGGAAAAGCUGCAAAAAAAGCUGAAAUAUUUUACCUCAAAUGAUGCGAAUUCCCCCAAAAGCCAAAUGGAAAACCCCCGAACCCGUCCAGAAUGCAGACUAGUCUAGUUUCUGCCUGUCUGACAUGCUGUUAAAACCAUUACUUUUAUAAUAGUUAGCGUCGUGUUUUAUGCUAAAAGAGACUUAAAUCUAUUUUUAGCUGCAAGUUUUUGCGUUGGAUUACAACUUUGUGUAAACAUUUAGACCUUUUUUUAUAUAUGGACUUUUAUCGUGUAGCGCUGCAAUAUAAUGAACAUGUGCACUAGAUAGAUCUGCUGCCUUAUCGUUAGCUUUUAGAGGAUAUUUACAUAGUUAUCGUACGCUUUACAUAGAAGUGGCAUCGAUUUGUAUCGUUGUUAGUGUUUGUUUUACGUUGUGUUACGCAGACUGAUGAUCCUGAAAGGUUCACUUUGUAAGAUUUAGCUGCAGAAAUUGGAAGUAAUGUAGGUUUUCGUUAGUGCUAGAAAGUAAGCGUUGUGUUUGUUUAACAUCGGAAUGAGUCAGAAAGGAGGAGACUGUCGCGUUUUUACCGAAUCUCCA